rnacentral:rRNA from 1 species
CACCGCGGUUAUACGAGAGGCCCAAGUUGACAGAGGACGGCGUUAAGAGUGGCUAGGGAAAUAAAUAAACUAGGGUUGAAAGUCUUCAAGACUGUUAUACGCAUUGUCGAAGACAUGAAAAUCAAACACGAAAGUGGCCCCAUUUCUCCUGACCCCACGAAAGCUAAGACA